rnacentral:rRNA from 1 species
CCAGACUCCUACGGGAGGCAGCAGUGGGGGAUAUUGCACAAUGGGGGGAACCCUGAUGCAGCGACGCCGCGUGGGUGAAGGAGCGUUUCGGCGCGUAAAGCCCUAUCGGCAGGGAAGAAGGAGGACGGUACCUGACUAAGAAGCCCCGGCUAACUACGUGCCAGCAGCCGCGGUAAUACGUAGGGGGCAAGCGUUAUCCGGAUUUACUGGGUGUAAAGGGGGCGCAGACGGCAGCGCAAGCCAGGAGUGAAAGCCCGGGGCCCAACCCCCGGACUGCUUUGGAAACUGUAUAGCUGGAGUGCAGGAGAGGUAAGUGGAAUUCCUGGUGUAGCGGUGAAAUGCGUAGAUAUCAGGAGGAACACCGGUGGCGAAGGCGGCCUGCUGGACUGCAACUGACGUUGAGGCCCGAAAGCGUGGGGAGCAAACAGGAUUAGAUACCCCGGUAGC